AAUGAAAAUUUGUUUUCAAAUUUGAAAUGAAUAACCAAGAUGUACUAUUGAACAUCUAAUGGUUUAAAAACUUUUCGGUACGGUGCACAAGCGGGUACUAGAAUUUUUCCUUUUUAACUCUUCAAAUUAAACUAAGAAAAUUUAGAAGUUAGCGAGUUCAGGAAGCAUCUUCUUUCAAAUCAAUAAUUUCUACUGAACGGUUAGGAUUAUGCCACGAAAAACCACUAUUGAGAAUCCGGAGAGGCAGGUAGUAAAGUGGUCCCAUAUUUCUUGUCCGUACAUUUCAUGACAGUGACAGCUCACCCACCCACCACCACACAAAUGCAUAUGCAAGUGGACAGCUCACCCGUUCCGCACUGCCCCCUUCUAUAAAGUGCUCAAGUGACCAAAACCUAAAAUUGCAUCAGCAACGGAGGCUCCUUAACCUAUGAAGCCGCCUUGCUUGGCCAAAAAACCCACCUAAAAUUCCUUCUUGCCUCUUCAAAUCUAUGGAAAGAUCAAGGAUUUUCACGGCCCUUGCGUCUGCGCCUAUGGGGAAUGGGUAUGAAACCAAGGUUGUUAAGAAAAUUAGUGAAGGUAUACUCGAUGGAUUGAGUAUGAAAAAAAUGAAUUUGAUAAUGCUUUCCAUGAUUGGGAUGAAUGGAAUAGGAGGGGUAGGAAAGAUUUUCGUUACUAAAGCCAUUUACAAUUUCCUUAGUUUUCUUACAAAUGUUAGAGAGGUUUUUUUAGAUGAGAUCUAAUCUAAAAAGGUUUUUGUUGUUCUCGAUGAUGUGGAUGACUUAAAUCUAUUAGAGUUUUUAGCUGGAAAUCAUGAUUGGUUUAAAGUAUUACCGUUAUGAUUUAAGAUAAAUAAAUAAAACCUCUUGAAACAUUUAUAGGUAAAGGCCUUCCAUUAGCUCUUAAAAUGUUAGGUUAUUACCUAUUUAAUAAAAUAAAUCUGAAUUUUUUAAAUUAAAAAGAAAACUUAAUAGGAAAAUUCAAAAUGUGCUUUAGUAAGUACUAAUGGAUUAGAUGAUGCUGAAAAUGAGAUAUUCCUUGACAUUGCAUGCUUUUUUUAAAAAGAGAAAUAUUCCUUGAUAUUGCAUGUUUUUUCAAAGGAUGAGAUAUUCCUUGACAUUGCAUGCUUUUUCAAAGGGAUGACUGUUGGUUACAUGCAAAGAUUGGAAUAAGUAUUCUCAAUGAUAAGUGUCUCAUAACUAUUUUAAUUAUAUGAAUGAUCCAUUAGUUAUAAUACAUGAGUCACAACAAAUGGGUAAGGAAAUUUUUUGCAAAAAAUCUUAGAAAGCCUGGCAAGUUGUGCAUUGAUUUAUUCCAACAAAUGGGUAAGGAAUUUUUUUUUGUAAAAAUAUCUUAGAAAGCCUAGCAAGUUGUGCAUUGAUUUAUUUCAACAAAUAUGUUGGAAAUUUGUUUGCAAACAGAGGAAAUUGUGGGAUCUUGAAAGUUGGAAGAGAUGUCCAUUAUGGGUCGACAACAAAAAAAUGCCUUGAAGAGCCUAGCAAAUGCAGCAAAUAGUGGAAUCUGAAAAUCUGAAGAUGUCCCUUCAUCAUGGGUUGAUUGAAAAUGCUGUGCAAAUGAAGCAAAUUUUGGGAUUUUGAAAAUUUGAAGAUGUCCAUCAUGGGAUGGCAAAAAUGCAAGAAGAGCAUCAUCAUCAUAUUUGACAUUUUCCCAAAGAUGGUGCUAUCAAAACCACCUGGGUACAGUGUGUGAAGGAGCUUGAUUUGAUUAUUGGUGCUCAUUGUGAAGGAAAUGGAAUGUAAUGUGUAAUUUUUCUAAUGUUAUCGUAUAGAGAAACGAUCUUGUUAAAUGGAUAUACUUAAACUUGUCGCAUUUA